UUCUUUUCCAUUUUUUAAUGGCAAUUUCUCUCUUUUUUUUUAAAUUUUUAAAUUAGCAUAUAGUUGAUUUAUAAUGGCAAUUUCAUUUGGUUUAUUUUCAGAAUAUUUACUGAGCAUGCAAUGAAGGUCUGUGCCAAACCCAAGCGCAGUAAUAAAGAAACAAUCCCAGUCCAGAGUCAAAGAGCUCAGAACCUUGUAAGGAAAGAUGCAGAUAUGUCUUUAUUUUCACGCCUUUCUUCAAAAGGACUGACAGAGAACAAAGAGAUGUGCAACAUAAGAAAAUGAGAUAUAUUAGGAGAAAACAAGGAAGAUAAGACAAAGGGAAAGCAAUGAUGGGACCGUAAAACAGAGCUGGACUGAGACACAAAAUAAAUACAAUAAAGGCUUAUGUGUAUUUGCUAGGGAUCCACCAGGAAUUUGACUCUUAGCUUUUUAGCAGUCUCUGUAAAAGAAGAAGCAUGAUCAGUUAUACAAACCAUAGGUUCCACCAGAUAAGAGCAAACUGACUGCUCAGGAAAAAUAUCACUAGUCUUGAUAUAAGGCCAAACCAACAAACCCUCAAGGAUCCUACAAAUAAAUGCAGUACUGCUGGUAUCCUGAAGAACAUCCUCAGUAAUACGCUUAUCGUAAAAGAGCGGGGCUGUUCCUCACAGCACAUCUCAGUGGGGGCUGAUGGCUUAUCAUCAAAGUCUAGCUCAGUAAAUGCAAUUUUACAGGGCUUUGUUUAAGCAGAAAAAAAAUCAUUAUAAUGGGACAGAAAUACACCUAAAGUGUUAUGGGAGAACAGAGAGGACAUAACCGCAAUUUUAUUAUUCAAGGUUGGUGCAGACAUCAUCCUUGAGGAGGGAUUCUGGGAACUUCUAUUAUGUUUCCAAAGGAAAUAUGCAAUUUUUGUUGCAAACACCUAACCUUCUUAAAACUCAAAUUUUCACUAUCAUGAAAUAUUGUUUCAAAAGGGUGUUCUCAUCAUAGGAAAGUUCACAUUAAAAAAUCAAAACACAGAGUUCCUGUCAUGGUGCAGUGGUUAAUGAAUCCGACUAGGAACCAUAAGUUUUUGGAGUUGUAUUAAGUUUAUAGUAGGCUCCCUCAGAUAACCAAGACCACAGAACAAAAGGAGUUCUUGGGAGAUUAGUUCUGAUUCUAUGCUAAACUGCAUUUAAAAAAAAUUAAUAUGGUCAGGAGUUAUCUUUCUGCCUAAUAAUAGAAAAAAGAAAGAGCAACAGAAAAGGAAGUUAUUAACAUAAAAGAAUCCACACAUAUGAUAUCAGAGUCUUAAAUUUCUAAUGCAUUCUAUAAAAAGGGGUGACAUGACUGUCUUGAAAGAACGAAAAUGUAAUAUGUGUCUACAGUUGGUUUUAUAAAGGUGGUAUUUUUCUUCAGUAUUCAAACAAGUGUGAGAGGGAAGUAGCAUUUUCUAAUAUCUCUUUCAACCAUGUCUCGCUUCCUCAUCAACAGGUACAGGGCAGCCUGGGUGAACCUGGCAAGUGAGUGGCAGAAGGGCCUCCAGAGCACAGUGACUGGGGUAACACCAGAUAAUGAAGAAUGAAGUUAAAUCUCCACAGAUAAAAAUGCACCAAAUGAGAACAACUGGCACAGAUGAGAAACCUACUAGCCCACCACGGGUCAGUGCGCACUGGGAGCCAUUUGCACUGAUUAUUCUCACUCUCUUCGAGUACCUGUGCUUAGCUGCUGAGAUUGCAAACCGAUAUUUAAGAUCUUCAACCAGCAGUGCUUUAGAUACAAAAGGGUGACAACACUUUGUGUGUAUGACAGAAACAAAAACCAAGUAUGUCAAACCCAUCGGCCACCAAUGGAAGAAAUUCAGUAGCAUCUUUUUAUCUAGGGUAUAUAAUCGGUCUUCCAUACAAGCAUAACUUUAUUUCCUCUCAAAGUAAGCUUUUUCAUAAAGGGUGGAUCUUUCAGUUUAAGGAUCUUUUGUUUGCUGAGCACUAAUGAAGUCGUCCUCAGUACUACAGACACUUGAAAACAGUAUUAAGUGGAGGGUGAGGAGGCGUUGGGGUGCGAUCUAUUUCUAUACAGAAGAGAUUGGAAAGGUGGGUGGAGACAAAACCAAGGACAGGAAGCUGGAGGUGGAAAGGGAGGGAAGAGGAAAGACAGGGAGCAGGAGACACAUCAACUGGGGGAAGGAAGGGAGGAGAUAUGGGGCAGAAAGAUUUGAGGGAGGAGACCCGCCUCAUACAAGAAAAUAGUUUGUCCUCUAACCAUCCACCCUGAUAUGUGAUACUCACAUAGCACAUAUACAACCUCACGUAAAAUACCAGCCAGUCACCACUGGCUGAUGGAGUGGAUUUUCCUUGGGGGGGACCAAUAGCUGUGCUUGAUGCUUCACAUCCAGAGUGGAACAAGAACCGAGGCAGCCUGGAGAGGACAGGUAUACUCAUCCGCUGUUUUUCUAACUGAAGAACCAGUAAAAAUCCCUGAAAGGCUGCACCUGUCUUUGUCUCCACCUCACUCUCCCACUUCAUCCAUCAAGUGUCCAGAUUCUAUGGAUUCUGCCUCCACCGCCUUUUACAAGCAGACCU
rnacentral:lncRNA from 1 species